AAACCAAACAGUGACUGAGCUCGUUCCCGACUUGCUGGCGUGAUCGGGAGGGCUGAGAAAAUCACAGUCAGCUGCGCCCGGAGAAGCCCUGCCAAGGUGCCAGAGGACGCGGGUUCGAUUCCCGCCACCUCCACCG
rnacentral:tmRNA from 1 species